rnacentral:rRNA from 1 species
UACAGAGGUCUCAAGCGUUGUUCGGAUUCAUUGGGCGUAAAGGGUGUGUAGGUGGCGCCGUUAGUCGGGUGUGAAAUUUCGGAGCUUAACUCCGAAACUGCAUUCGAUACUGCGGUGCUUGAGGACUGGAGAGGAGACUGGAAUUCAUGGUGUAGCAGUGAAAUGCGUAGAGAUCGGGAGGAACACCAGUGGCGAAGGCGGCCGGCUGGGGGUGACUUGACGCUGAGGCGCGAAAGCGUGGGGAGCGAACCGG